GACGUAGGGUCCGAGCGUUGUCCGGAGUUACUGGGCGUAAAGGGCGCGUAGGCGGCUUCUUGCGUCACACGUGAAAGCCCCCGGCUCAACCGGGGAGGGUCGUGUGAAACGGGGGAGCUGGAGGCAGAGAGAGGCUGGUGGAAUUCCCGGAGUAGUGGUGAAAUGCGUAGAGAUCGGGAGGAACACCGGUGGCGAAGGCGGCCAGCUGGCUCUGACCUGACGCUGAGGCGCGAAGGCGUGGGGAGCGAACGGG
rnacentral:rRNA from 1 species